rnacentral:rRNA from 1 species
UCUACGGGAGGCAGCAGUGAGGAAUAUUGGUCAAUGGACGCAAGUCUGAACCAGCCAUGCCGCGUGCAGGAUGACGGCUCUAUGAGUUGUAAACUGCUUUUGUAUAAGGGUAAACCCAGGUACGUGUACCUGGCUGAAAGUACUAUACGAAUAAGGAUCGGCUAACUCCGUGCCAGCAGCCGCGGUAAUA